GAUGAACGCUGGCGGCGUGCCAAAUACAUGCAAGUCGAGCGAACGGACGAGAAGCUUGCUUCUCUGAUGUUAGCGGCGGACGGGUGAGUAACACGUGGAUAACCUACCUAUAAGACUGGGAUAACUUCGGGAAACCGGAGCUAAUACCGGAUAAUAUUUUGAACCGCAUGGUUCAAAAGUGAAAGACGGUCUUGCUGUCACUUAUAGAUGGAUCCGCGCUGCAUUAGCUAGUUGGUAAGGUAACGGCUUACCAAGGCAACGAUGCAUAGCCGACCUGAGAGGGUGAUCGGCCACACUGGAACUGAGACACGGUCCAGACUCCUACGGGAGGCAGCAGUAGGGAAUCUUCCGCAAUGGGCGAAAGCCUGACGGAGCAACGCCGCGUGAGUGAUGAAGGUCUUCGGAUCGUAAAACUCUGUUAUUAGGGAAGAACAUAUGUGUAAGUAACUGUGCACAUCUUGACGGUACCUAAUCAGAAAGCCACGGCUAACUACGUGCCAGCAGCCGCGGUAAUACGUAGGUGGCAAGCGUUAUCCGGAAUUAUUGGGCGUAAAGCGCGCGUAGGCGGUUUUUUAAGUCUGAUGUGAAAGCCCACGGCUCAACCGUGGAGGGUCAUUGGAAACUGGAAAACUUGAGUGCAGAAGAGGAAAGUGGAAUUCCAUGUGUAGCGGUGAAAUGCGCAGAGAUAUGGAGGAACACCAGUGGCGAAGGCGACUUUCUGGUCUGUAACUGACGCUGAUGUGCGAAAGCGUGGGGAUCAAACAGGAUUAGAUACCCUGGUAGUCCACGCCGUAAACGAUGAGUGCUAAGUGUUAGGGGGUUUCCGCCCCUUAGUGCUGCAGCUAACGCAUUAAGCACUCCGCCUGGGGAGUACGACCGCAAGGUUGAAACUCAAAGGAAUUGACGGGGACCCGCACAAGCGGUGGAGCAUGUGGUUUAAUUCGAAGCAACGCGAAGAACCUUACCAAAUCUUGACAUCCUUUGACAACUCUAGAGAUAGAGCCUUCCCCUUCGGGGGGCAAAGUGACAGGUGGUGCAUGGUUGUCGUCAGCUCGUGUCGUGAGAUGUUGGGUUAAGUCCCGCAACGAGCGCAACCCUUAAGCUUAGUUGCCAUCAUUAAGUUGGGCACUCUAAGUUGACUGCCGGUGACAAACCGGAGGAAGGUGGGGAUGACGUCAAAUCAUCAUGCCCCUUAUGAUUUGGGCUACACACGUGCUACAAUGGACAAUACAAAGGGCAGCGAAACCGCGAGGUCAAGCAAAUCCCAUAAAGUUGUUCUCAGUUCGGAUUGUAGUCUGCAACUCGACUACAUGAAGCUGGAAUCGCUAGUAAUCGUAGAUCAGCAUGCUACGGUGAAUACGUUCCCGGGUCU
rnacentral:rRNA from 1 species